rnacentral:rRNA from 1 species
UAAGACGAACCGUGCGAACGUUGUUCGGAAUCACUGGGCUUAAAGGGCGCGUAGGCGGGUCAGCAAGUCCGGGGUGAAAUCUUUCGGCUUAACCGGAAAAGGGCCUUGGAUACUGCUGGUCUAGAGGGAGGUAGGGGUCUGUGGAACUUCUGGUGGAGCGGUGAAAUGCGUUGAUAUCAGAAGGAACGCCGGUGGCGAAAGCGACGGACUGGAUCUCUUCUGACGCUGAGGCGCGAAAGCUAGGGGAGCAAACGGGAUUAGAUACCCCGGUAGUCCUAGCCCUAAACGAUGGGUACUAGGUAGUGGACUUGACAUGGGUUCACUGCCGAAGCCAAAGUGCUAAGUACCCCGCCUGGGGAGUAUGGUCGCAAGGCUG